rnacentral:rRNA from 1 species
UACGUAGGGGGCGAGCGUUGUCCGGAAUUAUUGGGCGUAAAGGGCGUGUAGGCGGCCUGUUAAGUCAGGGGUGAAAACCCGGGGCUCAACUUCGGGGUUGCCCUUGAAACUGUCAUGCUAGAGUGCAGAAGGGGCAAUCGGAAUUCUUGGUGUAGCGGUGAAAUGCGUAGAUAUCAAGAGGAACACCUGAGGUGAAGACGGGUUGCUGGGCUGACACUGACGCUGAGGCGCGAAAGCCAGGGGAGCAAACGGG